UGAUUUUCCACAAUUCAAACAUGGACGUCUGUAUUAUGAAGAAAGCCGGAGACCCUACUUCCCAGUACCUAUAGGAAAGGAGUACAGCUAUUACUGUGACAACGGGUUUACAACGCCUUCACAGUCAUACUGGGACUACCUUCGUUGCACAGUAAAUGGGUGGGAGCCUGAAGUUCCAUGCCUCAGGCAAUGUAUUUUCCAUUAUGUGGAAUAUGGAGAAUCUUUAUACUGGCAAAGAAGAUAUAUAGAGGGUCAGUCUGCAAAAGUCCAGUGUCACAGUGGCUAUAGUCUUCCAAAUGGUCAAGAUACAAUAUUAUGUACAGAAAAUGGCUGGUCCCCUCCUCCCAAAUGCGUCCGUAUCAAUUCAACAAAGAUCUGUGGGCCUCCUCCACCUAUUGACAAUGGAGACACCACAUCCUUCCCACUACAACGAUACAUACCAUCAUCAUCAGUUGAAUAUCAGUGCCAGUCUUUAUACCAACUGCAGGGCAACAAGACAAUAAUAUGUAUAAAUGGAGAGUGGUCUGAUCCACCAAAAUGUU
rnacentral:lncRNA from 1 species